rnacentral:lncRNA from 1 species
UGGGGUUCAAGCUUCAAGCUGAAGAUCAGAGAAGCAAAGCAGCUAAGCCACUAGCUCUCACCUCUACCUCAGCUCAGACCAAAGGGUCAGUCCUCAAACUGCUCCUGACUUCACUGCUCCUCAGAUUCACUCAGACUGCCAUGCUCCCCUUGUGGCUAGAGACUAAUCCUGAUACUGACUACUGAAGACCCUGCUCCUAUCUUUUAUACCUCCAUAGUGCUGGGAUUAAAGUGGCUCUUGAACUACAUUUGGAAGAGAGACACGCUGGUACCAAAGUGUGGUGGACUCACUUCCAGUUCUGCAGAUGGAGAGGACUGGAGGACUGGCACAGACUUGGCAGGUUCUUGGAAGAAAUGCCCAGGAAGAGAGUGUUCUGAGGCUCCUGUACCUUUCUGAGGAAGCUGUCUUCCCACACUGAAGUCACAAACUAGGGAGCUUUCAAACUACCUGUGUUUGCUCACCUCUCAGCAUGGGGAAGAAGCAUGAGGAAGUUUGGCACCCUGUGGUUCUCCCCACAGUAGAAACACUUACAAACCCUUACCCCUGCUCACACUUCCACCAUCAAUCUGAUGAUAUGAAACCACUUGACUUCAUUAAAGGGGAGUUAGAGAAACUGA